rnacentral:rRNA from 1 species
UACGAAGGGGGCUAGCGUUGUUCGGAAUCACUGGGCGUAAAGGGCGCGUAGGCGGCCGAUCAAGUCGGGGGGUGAAAGCCUGUGGCUCAACCACAGAAUUGCCUCGAUACUGGUUGGCUUGAGACCGGAAGAGGUAAGUGGAACUGCGAGUGUAGAGGUGAAAUUCGUAGAUAUUCGCAAGAACACCAGUGGCGAAGGCGGCUUACUGGUCCGGUUCUGACGCUGAGGCGCGAAAGCGUGGGGAGCAAACAGG